rnacentral:misc_RNA from 1 species
UGAGUGGUUGGAUGUGGGGGUUUGCUGGCUUCUUAAAAGGGUUCAGCUCCUCUGAAAUGCAUUAGCAGAACAACCUGUUCAUUGGUGUGAUAACUAUCUACGCUAUUGAAUAUCAGGGGCAGUUCAGCUUUCUAACAGUCCUUGGACAAUUUUAUCAUUUAUGUGACCUCAAAUCAGGUAGGACUACCCGCUGAACUUAA